rnacentral:rRNA from 1 species
GAUUAUGGCUCAGGAUGAACGCUAGCGACAGGCUUAACACAUGCAAGUCGAGGGGCAUCACGGGAGUAGCAAUACAACUGGUGGCGGCCGGCGCACGGGUGAGUAACGUGUAUGCAACCUACCUAUCAGAGGGGAAUAACCCGGCGAAAGUCGGACUAAUACCGCAUAAAACAGGGGCACCGCAUGGUGAUAUUUGUUAAAGAAAUUCGCUGAUAGAUGGGCAUGCGUUCCAUUAGGUAGUUGGUGAGGUAACGGCUCACCAAGCCGACGAUGGAUAGGGAACUGAGAGGUUGGUCCCCCACACUGGUACUGAGACACGGACCAGACUCCUACGGGAGGCAGCAGUGAGGAAUAUUGGUCAAUGGGCGGGAGCCUGAACCAGCCAAGUCGCGUGAAGGAAGAAGGAUCUAUGGUUCGUAAACUUCUUUUGCAGGGGAAUAAAGUGCAGGACGUGUCCUGUUUUGUAUGUACCCUGAGGAUAAGGAUCGGCUAACUCCGUGCCAGCAGCCGC